rnacentral:rRNA from 1 species
UACGGGGGAGGCAAGCGUUAAUCGGAUUCAUUGGGCGUAAAGGGCGUGUAGGCGGUUCCAUAAGUCAGGUGUUAAAGACCACGGCUCACCCGUGGAAGUGCGCCUGAUACUGAGGGGCUUGAGUGCAGAAGAGGCAAGCGGAAUUCCAGGUGUAGCGGUGAAAUGCGUAGAUAUCGGGAGGAACACCUGUGGCGAAGGCGGCUUGCUGGUCUGCAACUGACGCUGAGGCGAGAAAGCCAGGGGAGCGAACGGG